CUGGCAGGAGAUGAAAGGCUGCUGCCGCCCGGUCGGAAGGACAUCGGCGCCCCCCAGGCCCGGUCCCCGCCCCAGUUCCUCGGGCCUUUCCUGCUGCCCCUGCCUGCGAGGGCCGACGACACGGAGAACAGGAUCCUGCGCCCAACCCAGGAGCAGUUGGGUGAGGAGCACCAGAAAUUCAAUGCUCCCUGGUGCUGCAUCCCCAGAGCCCUCCCAGCCUAAGAAGCCCCAUCUUUCUGUCUCCACGCAUGGAGAGCUGCAGCUGUGAGGCCCAGGACCCUUAGCAGGACAUGCAGAGCUGGGCAGGGACCCAGGCUCAUGCUCCCAGCGUGGGGUGAGUUGUCUCCAGCCUGUGGAGACUGCCAUGAAGUUGAUCUGCCUCCCAGAGGGCCUGGCCCACUUGAAAUAAUUGCUCCGGCUACUGA
rnacentral:lncRNA from 1 species